AGAGAAGGAGGGAGAGAUUCAGUGCCAUUUUCAACUGAGCUCUGGACACAGAACUUCGGCCAUGAAGGUUGCAAGCAUCUUUCUUCUCAGUGCCUUGGCUCUGUUGAGUCUCUCAGGUUACACUAGAGCCACCUCCCCGCAAAGAGAGGCUACAUGUACCAGUGAAGUGAGUGGUUGUCCCAAGAUCUACAACCCUGUCUGCGGGACGGAUGGAAUUACUUAUUCUAAUGAGUGCGUGUUAUGUUCUGAAAAUAAGAAGCGCCAGACUCCUGUCCUCAUUCAAAAAUCUGGGCCUUGCUGAGAACCAAGGUUCUGAAAUCCUGUAAGAACACUAGGACACAUGUCUGGCCUGACUGUUGAAUAAAAUGCAUCUAAAUACUUCCUGUGGUUCCCACGCGCUUUUUUCCUCAAAGGCACGUUCGAUUAUCGUGGAGACAGAGGAUGGAGGCACACUCAGAAUAAACCAAGUUUUACCAAAUAGAGCAAACCUGUCGUUUUGGACAGGGAUUCCUUUGGGGGGGCUUCUUCCUUCCCCAUCUUCCACGCAUUCUGAGGGACUCUGUCUCAGGAAAUGGGACUGCAGAUAUCAGGUGACAGGACACAGCCGAUUGUGAAAACGUGUAAUUGCAUGAGGAUUCGACUAGCAUUUCAGGAAAACAGUUGAAAAGCUCAGCCCAGAAACACGCCCGUCACCUUUCACCGACUGAAAUAAUUCCUUUAGGUUUUCUUGGGACUUAGUUGAGCAUCUGCCAUGCCUGGCACGGGUCUAGGUACCGAGACAGGGGAUUUUGAAAUGCCGCCCGUCUAGUGGAGUAGAGUUCAGUUUUAAGAUUUUUCCAUGGCAGCCAAUUAAGCCGACCAUGCUCUCCUCUCCAUGGGAGCCAGGUGUGCAACAGCUGCAAACAGCAGCCUCCUCAGCAGCAUGUGCAGCCUGCUGCCUGUAUAGGUUGCCCUAGGGACAACCCUUUCCCGUGGACAUUCAUCAGUGGCAUGCUGCCCCCAUUCCAGUCUCCAGACAGGUAGGUGCAGUGCCUCUGGAAAGCCCCAGGGCACGGUGGCCAGGGUCCACACUGGCAAAGUCAUCGUGUCCAUCCACACAAACUGCAGAGCAAGGAGCAUGGGACUGAGGCCCUGCACAGGGCCAAGCUCAAGUUCCCUGGCCACCAGACAAUCCACAUCUCCAAGAAGUGGGAUCUGCUAAAUUCAACAUGGAUGGAUUUGAAAACAUGGUGGCAGAGAAAUGGCUCAUCCUGGAUGGACGUGGGGUCAAAUACAUCCCUCAUCGCGGCCCCCGGGCAAACGGCAGGCCCUGCUCUCAUGAGAGCCUUGGC
rnacentral:lncRNA from 1 species